GUGCUCAAUUCGGCAGCACAAACACGAAAACUGGACUGAUACAGACAAGACCCGCCUGGCCCCUAAGCAAGGAUGACAGGCACAUUCCUGAACUGUUUCUUAUUUUU